rnacentral:rRNA from 1 species
CCUCAAAUCAGGCGGGACUACCCGCUGAACUUAAGCAUAUCAAUAAGCGGAGGAAAAGRAACUAACAAGGAUUCCCCUAGUAACUGCGAGUGAAGCGGGAAAAGCUCAAAUUUAAAAUCUGGCAGUCUUUGGCUGUCCGAGUUGUAGUCUGGAGAAGCGUCUUCCGCGCUGGACCGUGUACAAGUCUCCUGGAACGGAGCGUCAUAGAGGGUGAGAAUCCCGUCUUUGACACGGACUACCAGUGCUUUGUGAUGCGCUCUCAAAGAGUCGAGUUGUUUGGGAAUGCAGCUCAAAAUGGGUGGUAAACUCCAUCUAAAGCUAAAUAUUGGCGAGAGACCGAUAGCGAACAAGUACCGUGAGGGAAAGAUGAAAAGCACUUUGGAAAGAGAGUUAAACAGUACGUGAAAUUGUUGAAAGGGAAACGCUUGAAGUCAGUCGCGUUGACCAGGGAUCAACCUUGCUUUUGCUUGGUGUACUUCCUGAUUAACGGGUCAGCAUCAAUUUUGACCAGUGGAAAAAGUUUAAGGGAAUGUGGCAUCUUCGGAUGUGUUAUAGCCUUUAUUCGUAUACAUUGGUUGGGAUUGAGGAACUCAGCACGCGCCGCAAGGCCGGGUUUCGACUACGUUCGUGCUUAGGAUGCUGGCA